AAUGGUUGAAGAUAUGCCAAACAAAUUGUGCCUUUCUAUACAGACAGAUUUCAGGUCUCAAUUUCAACUUCAAAGGUCAACAUAUCACUGAUAUCAGGAAUUCUGUGAAACUGUGGCACCAUGUAUGGUACGUGAGCGCACAAUGUCUGUUGGAAAAAGGAUAUUGGAAUAAGCAAAGGGACUCAACAUUACACAGUCAUUUCAACAUGUAGAGUCUUGUCAGCAAAGAUGGAGCAGUACAUCAGAUUUCCAGAAUCUCGUCAUGAGCUGAAGAUCAUUGCCUAUGGAUUUCAUGAAUGAUGUAAAAUGAUUUGACUGUUGAUGGAACCCACAGUGCAUGUCCUGCUUCAACAUCUGAGCAUAGGUCCUUGUUUAUCAGCAGUUUAGUUCUUCAAGCAGUCUGUGACAGUAACUUGAAAUGUUUGGACAUAUGUCCUGGAUGGCCAAGUUCUGUUCAUGAUGCCCAUUUAAAUAGAAACGGCCCGGUGGCGCAUUAAAUGGACAAUUUUUCGAAUGUUCUCGUGGAUUCAGCUUACCGCCUGACAAGAAAUCUUGCUUUUUGUUCCGUAUCGAGGCCAUGGACAUUUGUAUCAUUUGCAAAAGAUACUGCGAUAUUUGUGUCUUUGUUCAUGCUUUAUAGUUGAUUAACAAUUGGAAGCCAUAACCUGUUUAAUAGGAUGGUGUUAGUGGGACAAUGAAUUUUGUAAAGAUUUAAAGA